rnacentral:rRNA from 1 species
ACGUAGGUCCCAAGCGUUGUCCGGAUUUAUUGGGCGUAAAGCGAGCGCAGGUGGUUUCUUAAGUCUGAUGUAAAAGGCAGUGGCUCAACCAUUGUGUGCAUUGGAAACUGGGAGACUUGAGUGCAGGAGAGGAGAGUGGAAUUCCAUGUGUAGCGGUGAAAUGCGUAGAUAUAUGGAGGAACACCGGAGGCGAAAGCGGCUCUCUGGCCUGUAACUGACACUGAGGCUCGAAAGCGUGGGGAGCAAACAGGAUUAGAUACCCUGGUAGUCCACGCCGUAAACGAUGAGUGCUAGCUGUAGGGAGCUAUAAGUUCUCUGUAGCGCAGCUAACGCAUUAAGCACUCCGCCUGGGGAGUACGACCGCAAGGUUG